rnacentral:rRNA from 1 species
GAUGAACGCUGGCGGCGUGCCUAAUACAUGCCAGUCGAGCGAACGGACGAGAAGCUUGCUUCUCUGAUGUUAGCGGCGGACGGGUGAGUAACACGUGGAUAACCUACCUAUAUGACUGGGAUAACUUCGGGAAACCGGAGCUAAUACCGGAUAAUAUUUUGAACCGCAUGGUUCAAAAGUGAAAGACGGUCUUGCUGUCACUUAUAGAUGGAUCCGCGCUGCAUUAGCUAGUUGGUAAGGUAACGGCUUACCAAGGCAACGAUGCAUAGCCGACCUGAGAGCGUGAUCGGCCACACUGGAACUGAGACACGGUCCAGACUCCUACGGGAGGCAGCAGUAGGGAAUCUUCCUCAAUGGGCGAAAGCCUGACGGAGCAACGCCGCGUGAGUGAUGAAGGUCUUCGGAUCGUAAAACUCUGUAAUUAGGGAAGAACAUAUGUGUAAGUAACUGUGCACAUCUUGACGGUACCUAAUCAGAAAGCCACGGCUAACUACGUG